UACGAAGGGGGCUAGCGUUGCUCGGAAUCACUGGGCGUAAAGCGCACGUAGGCGGCUUUCUAAGUCAGGGGUGAAAUCCUGGAGCCCAACUCCAGAACUGCCUUUAAAACUGCAUCGCUUGAAUCCAGGAGAGGUGAGUGGAAUUCCGAGUGUAGAGGUGAAAUCGUAGAUAUUCGGAAGAACACCAGUGGCGAAGGCGGCUCACUGGACUGGUAUUGACGCUGAGGUGCGAAAGCGUGGGGAGCAAACAGGG
rnacentral:rRNA from 1 species